AAAAUGGAUAGAAAUCAUUUGACUGUAAGCAAAAUUAAAAGCUACUUGAAAUUUUCGUUUAAAAGUUAUAUAACUAUUUUAACAUGAGAAUAAAAAUGUGUAAAUGUAUGCUAGUGAAAUUUGCAAAAAAAAAUUAAAAAAUGUACCGCUUGUGAGUUUCAGUGACGUAUAAAAACUAGAAGCUGCAGCGUUAUGAAUAGAAUUCUAAAUUAUGGACUAAAAGCGAAAACAGUAUGGAUGUUAAGCUUUAGCGCCUGCCUGUAAUUAUUAUAUGCCGGAUUUUAUCUAGCCGCUAUCAAUGUUCAUCCGUCGUUUGCAGACUUCAGCUUAUUUGCUAGGUUUACUAUCAAAAAUGAGACAUUUAAGCAGAGCCAAAGCUUGAUUGCUGCUACCAAUCAUAUCGAUAAAGCUGAAUUAUUUGAAAAGAGAACUGUUGGAAUUUUGAUACCUUCAACCACACGUAGAUUGAAAGCUCCUGCAUUUCAUAAGCUAAGCUUACAAACUUUAUGUUUACCAUCCAUUUAUAAAACCAUCGAAAACAAGUAUGUAUACAAGAUUUAUAUCGGAACUGAUCGAGAAAACUAUUUGUAUUCAAUUAAGCGUAAAAUUGAAACCCUCUUUCAUAACGUGAGUGUUUGUGAGGUGUCCGGACAAACGUUUGUAAAAGCCGUAAAUGCUAUAGCUAGAAAGGCUUAUGAUGAAGGUAUGGAUUACUUAGUUUGUAUAAACGAUGACACUUCAUUUGAAACGAAAAACUGGACAUCAGCAGGUUUAAAUGUUCUUCAAUCUUACAGUCCUCCAAAUGUUGAUGUUGUCGGUCCAACAUGCAAAAGUGGGAAUACCGCAAUAUUGACUCAUGAUUUGGUUCAUCGUACGCAUUUAGAUAUAUUCGGAUUUUAUUACCCUUCGUACUUUGACAACUGGUGGACUGAUGACUGGAUUACAAAUCUGUACAAAUCAGAGCGAUCAACUAAACUUGAAUCCUGGGUUGUGAAGCAUCAUCUAAAAUUUCAUGUGACAGUUUUUGGAACACUAGGAGCUACAAUGUGUAUAGUAGAAUUUGACGUUCUUUUAGAUUGCACAAAGGCAAUCAGCUUGGAAACGAGAUUGAUGAGUUUAAGCAAGUGAACACACAAAUUACAAAAAAUCGGUUCUUAAAGCUCCGGGGAAUGGUUAGUUUGUAAAAUUUGUCAUCUUUGCAGACGGUAGAAGUGAUAACGGGGAAAGAAACGUGUAAGCAGAGACUUGCCAGAAUGCGAUGUUACAGAUGCCUGAUUACAAACUUUAUCAUGUGCAGGAGGAUGACAAAUAUACGAACCUCAUUUGCAGAUACAUCAAUAGUGCUAACGAGCACACGUGAACCAGCAACUAGUAGUCCUGAAGAGCAAAAGUGAACAUACAACUUCCUCCGUAGCUACAUUAAUAGUUAAUAAAACAACCGAAGAACCAACAACUCCAUCGGUUGAUAAUACUGAGUCCUCCACUUACACUCAAGCUGAGGACACUGAUUUGUAGACAGGUAUUGGGAGUAUUUUUGCAACUCUACCAAUAUUGAAAAAUGGUACUGUUAAAUUACUAAGUUACAAGCAGCAUUAAUAAUAGUCAUAUCAUCUUCUGUCAUUUCGGUGUGUGUGUGUCUGGCUGUCUGUCUCUCACACAGCUUGUCUGAACUCUAAGUCGAACAUUUCUCACCCGAUGUUCACCAAACUUGAAUAAAAUAUGUCUGAUCAUAAGACCUCUGCCAAGUUCGAUAAUUAGCCAAAUCGGCCCAGAAACAUUGGCAUUAUGGCCCUUUAAUUACCAAAAGAAUGCGCUUUUCUGCGGGCAAAACAUGCCAUAUCCUACUAAUUAUUAGUAUAGGUUACGUUUCGCCUGCACGAAAGCGCAUGCGAAAUUAGUAGUACAGGGUCGUUUUAAGAAAACAAUAUAUAAAGACUGACUUACUAUUUUGAUGAUUAGGCAGUUGUAGGAGACAUGCGUUUUUCUCAAAAACAUCUCUAGUUAUAUUGUUGAAAUAGGUUUAGUGUCAAAUGCAAUGCAUAUUUUGUCUAUUCUCGUAUAUUGUUAAAAUAUUUUCAGUGCCGAAUGCCAUGUAUAAUUUUUGGAAUACUUGUUAUGAUAUUGAUCACAAAUUCUAAUUGUGUUCU